AUGCAAGUGAAAGUAAAAAAAAACAACAAUGAAAUGGCUGCUCCCCUUCUGUGUGGCCGGCUGGGUCGUCUGACAUUUGGACACUUGUCAAUCAUCUCUUUCAAUAGCCCAGCGGCGGGAAAAAUGGAGUCGGGGGUCAGCAACUCAGUGUAUUGCCAUGGCAACAACCGCACUGAAGUUCGUAGCCCGCUGGGGGCCGAAGCUCAAAAAAUGCACACAUUGACUGCGCUUCUGGCUCAGCUGUCUGUGAGACGGUCCCUGCCCUUGACCGUCCCACUCCAUUCAGCCGCGUCUAGGCAGAACACACGGUGCAAUCGUGUAGUAAGAUCUCUCAUUCUACUACACUGCUGUCACUUGUCUCACCCCCACCUCCCCUCUCCCAACAAAAAAGCCCACCUGUAGCCUAGUGGUGCUCAAAAGGCAUUUUCCAAUUUCCCAACACAGCUCCCCUAUCUCGUCUCACUCCCAUUUUGCCUAAUUUUCACCUUCUUCAACUCCCACCCUGUGCCUCAACUCCUUCCCCAGUGCCAGUAAUGAGUCCACUGCUGCCUCUCAGAGCCAUUUGUGGUUUUCACUGACUCACUGUUCACUCGGGAGUCCCUACCCUUUCCACACCAACACAUCCUCCUAUUGCCUGCUGUCCCUCCUUACUCCAUCUCUGCCGACCCCCCCCCCCCCCCACCCCCUCCUUUUAUAUAGUCACCGGCCGCCGCGGCUUUCUCCCCAUCUCCAGCGGCAUGAAUAUAUUAUUAUCUACACAAUGGAGCCCUGCUUAUUGUUUAUGAAUUACCAGCCUUGCGGCCAAACAAAGCCUAUUUUCAUAAGAAACCUCCAUUUCAUUUCAGCUCCAAUUAGAUUGGGGGCUAAAGAAUAGGAGUCCUCAGGCCCCAGCCCCUAAGGAUGGCAGGUCCAUUCAGCUCCAUUCAAUGGGGCCUUAUUGCUUUCCUAUACAAAAGAGCACGUGGAUGGGGCUUUCAGACUGAAACACUGACCAAAAAUGACUGGGAGACAGUACUGUACAAUAACAAAUCUUUAAAGAAAGGACACAGAGUGCUUAUCCUUCCCUCCAUCAAUUCAUCCUUCACUUUUUGCCUUCUUCCUCGUCCACCGUUCAUAUAUUGUUCCGACCUGGACAUUAAUGACAGACAGUUGAAAGAAAAAAGGGAGUGAAAGAAGAGGAGAAGAAAGAAGGGGAGAGCAGCUCAGUUUUUUUUCACAAUACAUGUCAAGUCUAAAUGAUCACUUGCCGCUGAAUAGACAGAAGGAGAAGGGAAAGCAGUGAGACGUGUGUGUGUGUGUGUGUGUGUGUGUGUGUGUGUGUGUGUGUGUGUGUGUGUGUGUGUGUGUGUGUGUGAGUGUACAGCUGAUUGAUUCUCUGCUUUGAAAAGAGAAGAAAAAAGGGUGAACCAUAGAGCGAGGAAGAACCUUGAUGCUUUUUUUUUUUUUUCUAUCCCAGCGCUCCACAAUGGUCUGGGGGCUGAGAGCCACAUUGUGGCGGGGCUAGUGACAGGCUGUCAGUCUGCUCGCCGCGCAGCAACAAGAGGAAGCAAGAGGCUGCGAGAAAACCCCCCGAAGACACGAUGACUCCGGCGCUGCCACCGCUGGACUCUUUGAAUGGAAGGAGAGAUACUGUGAGGAGAAGUAUUGUGGAAUACCUUCCCCGCCGCACACUCUUCAAGGGUCGUGUGCGUGUCCCCCUCGGGUCAAACGGAGUCCAAAGCCGUCGAGGGCCAGCUCGUUCCGAGUGCUGAGUGGUGGACGCGGCGGCACCAGGUGUUUACCUGCCCUGCUAUGAAGUCUGGUCAUUACCGGAUCCAGCUUAUGAUUAUUGAUUAUCUUCCUGGUUCACGUCAGGCUUUAGUCCUCGCCGCUCUUUUGUUGUUUGGAUAGGAGAAAAAAAAAACAGGGGACAUUGUGUCGGUGAAUAGGCUGGCAGCCGGGCCAAACAAGGUCAGAGCAUCAGAGUACUGAACCGCGCUUUUAUAUGCCAAGAUCUGCUCCGGAGGAUGAAUUUGAAACGAGCCCCUUUGUAUCUAUGCGGGAAUAUUCAGCGCGAGACAAUGGCCGCCUGUUCUCCUCACUAAUGAGUGGACAAGGUGAGAGUCCCAGCCAGAAAGGUGGACAUCUGUGGUUAUUCAGCCCUCACGGCGGCAGAAUAGGAUCCUUUCCUUACAAGGAUUAUCAGGAUUAUCAGCACACACUAACACACACAGGGUUUCAAUGGGCCAGUCACUGUGAUAAGGGGUGACAUAAGAGCCCAGAUAAAGAUAAAUGCCUGGGCUUAGUUUUUUGUGUUAAUUAUGUAAUAAAGACAUGAAUGAAAAAAGGAACAUCAUGCACUUCUUGGCUUUAACCCCUCAUCGAAUAUCUCAACACUAAGCGAGGGCUUGAGUUAAUUAAAG
rnacentral:lncRNA from 1 species